AGUCACUGAGAGUUUGAUCCUGGCUCAGGAUGAACGCUGGCGGCGUGCUUAACACAUGCAAGUCGAGCGAAGCGCUCACGCGGAAUUUUACGGGAGGCAGCAG
rnacentral:rRNA from 1 species